rnacentral:tRNA from 1 species
AACCACGUAGCUCAGUUGACAGAGCAUUGGACUAGUAGUAUCCCAAAGGUCGCGGGUUCGAUUCCCACCGUGGUCA